GUGACAGACCUCAGUCAGUCUUCUGGCGUCUCUGGACGGGAGUUGUAGGUUGAUGCUGCAGAGCUCCUUCCUGCUCUUGAAGAGGCUCUUGACAAACUGCGGCCCAUUGUCCCGCACAGUCUGCAAACAUGAAGAGUAGAAAACCCAAGGAGAUCAGCGGAGAUCAGCGGAGAUCAGCGGAGCUUGCGCCGUCCAUGCAGCUGCCGUGACUUCCCUCAGAGACUGGUGUCAACACACCCGUGGCCACACCCCUCCGACUAUCAGGUGGAGGCAUUUGCAGGAUUAGCACCACUAAGUGGUCAAAAGAUGAAACUGCAGUGUUUCACAAAUUCCUCAGUAAAUUCACCAAAACGACACCGUGGAGUUAUUGAGUAUGUUUAGCUGAUUGGAGAUUGGGUCCAUGAAGACGACUGCUGUUUUGUUUGAUCAGCCGUUUUACUGCCGUGUUACAGACACAGUUUGGAAACAAUUAAGGUAUGUGAAUAUACAUUUAUCUUUCUGUAUAAAUAACUCCUUUUGCAAUGUAUAUAUAUAUAUCUUCCGCUUAUGCGGCUAAAUUAUGGAAAAAAUAAUGUUUUCCCCCAAUAAUUUACUGGGUGCAACUUCUAUCCGGUGCG